rnacentral:rRNA from 1 species
UAGCUAGUUGGUGGGGUAAAGGCCUACCAAGGCGAUGAUCGGUAGCUGGUCUGAGAGGAUGGACAGCCACACUGGGACUGAGACACGGCCCAGACUCUUACGGGAGGCAGCAGUGGGGAAUAUUGGACAAUGGGGGGAACCCUGAUCCAGCAAUGCCGCGUGUGUGAAGAAGGCCUGAGGGUUGUAAAGCACUUUCAGUGGGGAGGAGGUAUGAUUGGUUAAGAGCUGAUUAUAUGGACGUUACCCACAGAAGAAGCACCGGCUAACUCCGUGCCAGCAGCCGCGGUAAUACGGGGGGUGCGAGCGUUAAUCGGAAUUACUGGGCGUAAAGGGUGCGUAGGUGGUUUAAUAAGUUAUGUGUGAAAGACCUGGGCUCAACCUGGGGUGGUCAGAUAAUACUGUUAGACUAGAGUAUGGGAGAGGGUAGUGGAAUUUCCGGUGUAGCGGUGAAAUGCGUAGAGAUCGGAAGGAACACCAGUGGCGAAGGCGGCUACCUGGCCUAAUACUGACACUGAGGCACGAAAGCGUGGGGAGCAAACAGGAUUAGAUACCCUGGUAGUCCACGCUGUAAACGAUGUCAACUAGUUGUUGUCCAUAUAAAGAUGGGUAGUGACGC